ACCUGGCUAACUCAGUUGGUUAGAGCUUGGUGCUGUUAACGCCAAGGUUGCAGGUUUGAUCCCCAUAUGGGAUA
rnacentral:tRNA from 1 species